rfam:Tupaia chinensis contig96720, whole genome shotgun sequence.
GAUGGCAGUUAAAGGCAGUUCAGGAAGCCGGGUAUUAAGGGGAAACAAAAGUGUCAUUAGGAGUCCUGCUGUCAUUGUGGAUUGAGCCUGUUGCCAGGGUGAGGGGUGGGGGAAGCCUGGGGAGGUGGGGGAAGGAGGGUCUGGGGAAUGCAGGAGGCCUUGGCAGGGAGGACACUAAGGG